rnacentral:rRNA from 1 species
UACGAAGGGGGCUAGCGUUGCUCGGAAUUACUGGGCGUAAAGGGCGCGUAGGCGGAUAUUUAAGUCGGGGGUGAAAGCCCAGGGCUCAACCCUGGAAUUGCCUUCGAUACUGGAUAUCUUGGGUUCGGGAGAGGUGAGUGGAAUGCCGAGUGUAGAGGUGAAAUUCGUAGAUAUUCGGCGGAACACCAGUGGCGAAGGCGGACUCACUGGCCCGAUACUGACGCUGAGGCGCGAAAGCGUGGGGAGCAAACAGG